rnacentral:rRNA from 1 species
CCUACGUGGUGCAGCAGUGAGGAAUAUUGGUCAAUGGGCGCGAGCCUGAACCAGCCAAGUAGCGUGAAGGAUGACUGCCCUACGGGUUGUAAACUUCUUUUAUAAAGGAAUAAAGUGAGGCACGUGUGCCUUUUUGUAUGUACUUUAUGAAUAAGGAUCGGCUAACUCCGUGCCAGCAGCCGCGGUAAUACGGAGGAUCCGAGCGUUAUCCGGAUUUAUUGGGUUUAAAGGGAGCGUAGAUGGGUUGUUAAGUCAGUUGUGAAAGUUUGCGGCUCAACCGUAAAAUUGCAAUUGAUACUGGCAGUCUUGAGUACAGUUGAGGUAGGCGGAAUUGGGGGUGUAGCGGUGAAAUGCUUAGAUAUACGAAGAACUCCGAUUGCGAAGGCAGCUUACUAAACUGCCACUGACAUUGAUGCUCGAAGGUGUGGGUAUCAAACAGGAUUAGAUACCCUUGUAGUC